GGUCCCAUAGCUCAGUUGGUCAGAGCGUCGUACUAAUAUUCUCCUUUCCUGAAGAGGAAAUAUUAAGUAAUGCGAAGGCCGAGAGUUCAAGCCUCUCUGGGACCA
rnacentral:tRNA from 1 species